rnacentral:rRNA from 1 species
AGAGUUUGAUCAUGGCUCAGAGUGAACGCUGGCGGCGUGGAUUAGGCAUGCAAGUCGCGCGAACCCGCAAGGGUUAGCGGCAAACGGGUGAGUAAUGAAUGAGCAACUUGCCUUUAAGUCUGGAAUAGCUUCGUGAAAACGGAGGUAAUACCGGAUAAUAUCAGCGAAGCGCAUGCUUUGCUGAUUAAAGCUGGGGAUCGUAAGACCUGGCGCUUAGAGAUGGGCUCGUUUCCUAUCAGCUAGUUGGCGAGGUAAUGGCUCACCAUGGCUUAUGACGGGUAGCUGGUCUGAGAGGAUGGUCAGCCACACUGGGACUGAGACACUGCCCAGACUCCUACGGGAGGCCGCAGUCGAGAAUAUUUAGCAAUGGGCGAAAGCCUGACUAUGCGACGCCGCGUGAGGGAUGAAGGAUUUCGGUUCGUAAACCUCUUUUGUCACGAAAGAAUAUUUCAAUUCUAACACAGUUGAAACUGACGGUACGUGACGAAUAAGCCACGGCCAACUCCGUGCCAGCAGCCGCGGUAAUACGGAGGUGGCAAGCGUUACUCGGAAUCAUUGGGUGUAAAGGGCAAGUAGGCGGUCUAAUAAGUGAGGGGUGAAAUCCCGCGACUCAAUCGCGGAAUUGCCUUUCAAACUGUCAGACUUGAGGUAAGAAGAGGAAAAUGGAAUUCUCGGUGUAAGGGUGAAAUCUGUAGAUAUCGAGAAGAACACCAACGGCGAAGGCAAUUUUCUACUCUUAUCCUGACGCUAAAUUGCGAAAGCUAGGGGAGCGAACAGAAUUAGAUACUCUGGUAGUCCUAGCCGUAAACGAUGAGCACUAGGUGUUAGUCCCUUUGGGACUAGUGCCGCAGCUAGCGCAUUAAGUGCUCCACCUGGGGACUACGAUCGCAAGGUUAAAACUCAAAUGAAUUGACGG